UGUGCGUGUGCGUGUUGUUGUUGUUGUUGUUGUUAGUUGUUUUUUUUUCGCUUCUCACUCCCGUUUUUUUCGUGUCGUUUUUUCUAUUUUUUAUUUAUUUAUUUUUUCUAUCCGUCCGAUUCGCCUCCUCUGUCGCGACAGUUGUUCGCCUCUCCGUCCUUUUACUAUUAUCGUACAGACAGGUACCUAUAACAGUCGUACGCAGACACGGCACAAAUUACAACAACGUGACGACGACGACGUACCGGCUAGGAAUACAACGCAUCGCGGACGACACCUGGUGGCGGCGCUCUGGCGAACGGCGGCGAUUAACCUUAAAGCUCGCCCGGCGGCGCAAGCUCCUCCUCCGGCGGGUUGGCGCGCGCUCGUCUCUGGCGUUUUCUAUAAUAUAUUUAUGCUUUACGUGCGCGUGUAACACAAUACAAGGUACAGCAAUUAUUAUCCC